CAGUCGCCGCGGUAAUACGUAGGUGGCAAGCGUUGUCCGGAAUUAUUGGGCGUAAAGCGCGCGCAGGUGGUUUAAUAAGUCUGAUGUGAAAGCCCACGGCUCAACCGUGGAGGGUCAUUGGAAACUGUUAAACUUGAGUGCAGGAGAGAAGAGUGGAAUUCCUAGUGUAGCGGUGAAAUGCGUAGAGAUUAGGAGGAACACCAGUGGCGAAGGCGGCUUUUUGGCCUGUAACUGACACUGAGGCGCGAAAGCGUGGGGAGCAAACAGGAUUAGAUACCCCUGUAGUCCCUGUCUCUUAUAC
rnacentral:rRNA from 1 species